rnacentral:rRNA from 1 species
GUGCCAGCCGCCGCGGUAAUACGGAGGGGGCUAGCGUCGUUCGGAAUUACUGGGCGUAAAGCGCACGUAGGCGGCUUUGUAAGUAAGAGGUGAAAGCCUGGUGCUCAACACCAGAACUGCCUUUUAGACUGCAUCGCUUGAAUCCAGGAGAGGUGUGUGGAAUUCCGAGUGUAGAGGUGAAAUUCGUAGAUAUUCGGAAGAACACCAGUGGCGAAGGCGGCUCACUGGACUGGUAUUGACGCUGAGGUGCGAAAGCGUGGGGAGCAAACAGGAUUAGAUACCCCGGUAGUCC